rnacentral:rRNA from 1 species
AACGAACGCUGGCGGCAUGCCUAACACAUGCAAGUCGAACGAGACCUUCGGGUCUAGUGGCGCACGGGUGCGUAACGCGUGGGAAUCUGCCCUUGGGUUCGGAAUAACAGUUAGAAAUGACUGCUAAUACCGGAUAAUGUCUUCGGACCAAAGAUUUAUCGCCCAGGGAUGAGCCCGCGUAGGAUUAGCUAGUUGGUGAGGUAAAGGCUCACCAAGGCGACGAUCCUUAGCUGGUCUGAGAGGAUGAUCAGCCACACUGGGACUGAGACACGGCCCAGACUCCUACGGGAGGCAGCAGUGGGGAAUAUUGGGACAAUGGGCGAAAGCCUGAUCCAGCAAUGCCGCGUGAGUGAUGAAGGCCUUAGGGUUGUAAAGCUCUUUUACCCGGGAUGAUAAUGACAGUACCGGGAGAAUAAGCCCCGGCUAACUCCGUGCCAGCAGCCGCGGUAU